rnacentral:rRNA from 1 species
CCUACGGGUGACAGCAGUGGGGAAUAUUGGACAAUGGGCGCAAGCCUGAUCCAGCGACGCCGCGUGAGGGAAGAAGGCUUUCGGGAUGUAAACCUCUUUUAGGAGGGAAGAAAAUGACGGUUCCUGACUUUGAUACUCCGGCUAACUACGUGCCAGCAGCCGCGGUAAUACGUGGGGGGCACGCGUUAUCCGGAUUUAUUGGGUGUAUAGGGAGCGUAGACGGGAGGACAAGUCUGAUGUGAAAUGCCGGGGCUUAACCCCGGAACUGCAUUUGAAACUGUGUGGCUUGAGUGCAGGAGAGGUUAGCGGAAUUCCUAGUGUAGCGGUGAAAUGCGUAGAUAUUAGGAAGAACACCAGUGGCGAAGGCGGAUGACUGGACUGUAACUGACGGUGAGGCUCGAAAGCGUGGGGAGCAAACAGGAUUAGAUACCCGUGUAGUC